GCAAGUUGAACGAGAAAGCACCUUCGGGUGUGAGUAGAGUGGCGCACGGGUGAGUAACGCGUGGGAACCUGCCAAACAGUGGGGGAUAACCUUUGGAAACGAAGGCUAAUACCGCAUACGCCCUUUUGGGGAAAGAUUUAUCGCUGUUUGAUGGUCCCGCGUCUGAUUAGCUAGUUGGUAGGGUAAUGGCUUACCAAGGCUACGAUCAGUAGCUGGUCUGAGAGGAUGAUC
rnacentral:rRNA from 1 species